rnacentral:rRNA from 1 species
UCGAACGGUGAAGCAGAGCUUGCUCUGUGGAUCAGUGGCGAACGGGUGAGUAACACGUGAGCAACCUGCCCUUGACUCUGGGAUAAGCGCUGGAAACGGCGUCUAAUACCGGAUAUGAGCUGCGAUCGCAUGGUCAGCAGUUGGAAAGAUUUUUCGGUCUGGGAUGGGCUCACGGCCUAUCAGCUUGUUGGUGAGGUAAUGGCUCACCAAGGCGUCGACGGGUAGCCGGCCUGAGAGGGUGACCGGCCACACUGGGACUGAGACACGGCCCAGACUCCUACGGGAGGCAGCAGUGGGGAAUAUUGCACAAUGGGCGAAAGCCUGAUGCAGCAACGCCGCGUGAGGGAUGACGGCCUUCGGGUUGUAAACCUCUUUUAGCAGGGAAGAAGCGAAAGUGACGGUACCUGCAGAAAAAGCGCCGGCUAACUACGUGCCAGCAGCCGCGGUAAUACGUAGGGCGCAAGCGUUAUCCGGAAUUAUUGGGCGUAAAGAGCUCGUAGGCGGUUUGUCGCGUCUGCUGUGAAAUCCCGAGGCUCAACCUCGGGUCUGCAGUGGGUACGGGCAGACUAGAGUGCGGUAGGGGAGAUUGGAAUUCCUGGUGUAGCGGUGGAAUGCGCAGAUAUCAGGAGGAACACCGAUGGCGAAGGCAGAUCUCUGGGCCGUUACUGACGCUGAGGAGCGAAAGGGUGGGGAGCAAACAGGCUUA